CCCUUAGAUGUUCUGGGCCGCACGCGUGCUACACUGAGUGGAUCAGCGGGUCAGGUUGCGCGAAAGCGUUUCCUAAUCUUUAAAUCCGCUCGUGAUGGGGAUUGACGGUUGCAAUUUUCUGUCAUGAACGAGGAAUACCUUGUAAGCGCGGGUCAUCAUCCCGCGCUGAAUACGUCCCUGCCCUUUGUACACACCGCCCGUCGCACCUACCGAUUGAAUGGUUCGGUGAAGAUCUCGGACUUCGAUAUUUAUUCUUUAUUGAGUUUAUAUUGUGGGAAGUUAUCUAAACCUCAUCAUUUAGAGGAAGGUGAAGUCGUAACA
rnacentral:rRNA from 1 species